GGCCCGUAAUCCGGGUUGCGGACAGUGUCUGGUGGGUAGUUUGACUGGGGCGGUCUCCUCCUAAAGAGUAACGGAGGAGCACGAAGGUUGGCUAAUCCUGGUCGGACAUCAGGAGGUUAGUGCAAUGGCAUAAGCCAGCUUGACUGCGAGCGUGACGGCGCGAGCAGGUGCGAAAGCAGGUCAUAGUGAUCCGGUGGUUCUGAAUGGAAGGGCCAUCGCUCAACGGAUAAAAGGUACUCCGGGGAUAACAGGCUGAUACCGCCCAAGAGUUCAUAUCGACGGCGGUGUUUGGCACCUCGAUGUCGGCUCAUCACAUCCUGGGGCUGAAGUAGGUCCCAAGGGUAUGGCUGUUCGCCAUUUAAAGUGGUACGCGAGCUGGGUUUAGAACGUCGUGAGACAGUUCGGUCCCUAUCUGCCGUGGGCGCUGGAGAACUGAGGGGGGCUGCUCCUAGUACGAGAGGACCGGAGUGGACGCAUCACUGGUGUUCGGGUUGUCAUGCCAAUGGCACUGCCCGGUAGCUAAAUGCGGAAGAGAUAAGUGCUGAAAGCAUCUAAGCACGAAACUUGCCCCGAGAUGAGUUCUCCCUGAGACUUAGAGUCUCCUGAAGGAACGUUGAAGACGACGACGUUGAUAGGCCGGGUGU
rnacentral:rRNA from 1 species